rnacentral:rRNA from 1 species
GACGAACGCUGGCGGCGUGCCUAAUACAUGCAAGUCGAACGAACCGCGACUAGGUGCUUGCACUUGGUCAAGGUGAGUGGCGAACGGGUGAGUAACACGUGGGUAACCUACCUCAUAGUGGGGGAUAACAGUCGGAAACGACUGCUAAUACCGCAUAGGACAUAGGAUCACAUGAUUCUGUGAGGAAAGGUGGCGCAAGCUAUCGCUAAGAGAUGGACCCGCGGUGCAUUAGCUAGUUGGUAGGGUAAAGGCCUACCAAGGCGAUGAUGCAUAGCCGACCCGAGAGGGUGAUCGGCCACAUUGGGACUGAGACACGGCCCAAACUCCUACGGGAGGCAGCAGUAGGGAAUCUUCCGCAAUGGACGCAAGUCUGACGGAGCAACGCCGCGUGAGUGAAGAAGGUCUUCGGAUCGUAAAGCUCUGUUGUUAGAGAAGAACAGCGCAUAGAGUAACUGUUAUGCGUGUGACGGUAUCUAACCAGAAAGCCACGGCUAACUACGUG